UUUUCAGUUGUGUCGGGCAGGAUAGACCACAAGGAUGCCUCUGAUGACACUGAUCCGAGCCUUUAAAAUGUAAGCAGAAAUGCCAGUUAAGCCAUCUUAAGUCUCUAUCCUUAACCCAUCCCAUCAUCCUUAAAGAUUGCUGCAUGUGAUCCCAAUGUCAGUCCUUAAAAAGAAAACUCAAGAGCAGAGAUGAACCCCGGCAUACCUGUGUUUGAGGACCUAUAAAAGAAAUACAUCCUGGAAAGCUAGAAAAUGGAAACCCUGCUUAUAUCCCUAUAGCCAAGAAUUCUGCCCCAAAACACAUGUAUUACUCAUGCUGUUAACAUGCUUAUCAAACCAAAAGAGGUUGAAGAUAGAAGGUUUAAUUAUGAAACUUUUAACUUUUCAAAAAAUAUUCUUUUGGAAGAGAAAAAUUUCUAUAAAUAGGCUUAUUGACAAAGACAAGUUUCUUUUUCAUGGGAUGUCAGGACGCAUGACAAAAUGAAAGAAUUUG
ensembl:lncRNA